rnacentral:rRNA from 1 species
UACGUAGGGGGCAAGCGUUGUCCGGAAUCAUUGGGCGUAAAGAGCGUGUAGGCGGUUCGGAAAGUCGGGCGUGAAAUGCCGGGGCUCAACCCCGGGACUGCGUCCGAUACUUCCGAGCUGGAGGUAGGUAGGGGAGAUCGGAAUUCCUGGUGUAGCGGUGAAAUGCGCAGAUAUCAGGAGGAACACCGGUGGCGAAGGCGGAUCUCUGGGCCUUACCUGACGCUGAGGCGCGAAAGCUAGGGGAGCGAACAGG